rnacentral:rRNA from 1 species
AUUGAACGCUGGCGGCAGGCUUAACACAUGCAAGUCGAACGAGUGGCGGACGGGUGAGUAAUGCUUGGGAAUCUAGCUUAUGGAGGGGGAUAACUACGGGAAACUGUAGCUAAUACCGCGUACCAUAGGAUGAGCCCAAGUGGGAUUAGGUAGUUGGUGAGGUAAAGGCUCACCAAGCCGACGAUCUCUAGCUGGUCUGAGAGGAUGACCAGCCACACUGGGGCUGGGGCACGGGCCCAACUCCUGCGGGAGGCCGGCGUGGGGAAUAUUGCGCCAAGGGGGGCACCUUGCGCAACCCUGCCCCGUGAAUGAAAAAGGCCUUCGGGUUGUUAAGUUUUUUCCGGAGGGAGGCGUUAACUACAGAAGAAGCACCGGCUAACUCCGUGCCAGCAGCCGCGGUAAUUC